rnacentral:rRNA from 1 species
GAAAGAUGGUUUCGGCUAUCGCUUACAGAUGGGCCCGCGGUGCAUUAGCUAGUUGGUAGGGUAAUGGCCUACCAAGGCAACGAUGCAUAGCCGACCUGAGAGGGUGAUCGGCCACACUGGGACUGAGACACGGCCCAGACUCCUACGGGAGGCAGCAGUAGGGAAUCUUCCGCAAUGGACGAAAGUCUGACGGAGCAACGCCGCGUGUAUGAAGAAGGUUUUCGGAUCGUAAAGUACUGUUGUUAGAGAAGAACAAGGAUAAGAGUAACUGCUUGUCCCUUGACGGUAUCUAACCAGAAAGCCACGGCUAACUACGUGCCAGCAGCCGCGGUAAUACGUAGGUGGCAAGCGUUGUCCGGAUUUAUUGGGCGUAAAGCGCGCGCAGGCGGUCUUUUAAGUCUGAUGUGAAAGC